GAGCUCACUUUGGCAGCACAUACACUAAAAUUUGAACGAUACGGAAACAAUUAGCCUGGCCCCUAAGCAAGGAUGACACGCAAAUUCGUGACAUAUUCUAUAUUAAA
ensembl:snRNA U6 U6 spliceosomal RNA